GAAAUGUUAAAUUAUGCCGGUGUAACGAAAAAUACUCGUUCAUGUUUAUCCGAUAAAUGAAAGAAAUUCCGUUACGUUCGUUCACCCGAAAAAUCCCCGAAAAGCGAACGAAGUCAAAAGAACGAGUUGUUUUGAAUCCGUUCCUACCGACCGUAACAAUUUUGUUUUCCUUUAACUAAUGCAAUCAAACGUAAAACGCAUUGACUUGUAACGUUUCGUCCAGCACAGAGUCCGCGGAGUAAUAAACAGCAUAUUUUUACAGUCGACCAUCGAAAAAUUGUAUUAUAUUUUCGUUAUAUCCGUUGGCAUAGACCUCGUAGGUAUUUAUGAUACUAUUAAAUAUUAUGGUACAUCGUUA